rfam:Sarcophilus harrisii ctg7180002512427, whole genome shotgun sequence.
GAAAAGGCUCUAUUUUAUUUCAUUCAUUAAAAAAUGAGAGCCACAGAAUACAGAAUUGGAAAGGAAAU